UCGAAAUUAUUUACGAAAAUGAACCGCUUCAAAAAAUAAUAACGGGUAUAUAUCGAAAACCCAAAAACGCGCUGACGUGAACGCGCUUUAGUAAAAAGCGUUGACGAGGACGCGCUUUUGGCCGUGCAAUCCCCCAACAGUCACCUCCAACGGCCGUUUAAAAAUCUAAUCGUUGGGCCCAACGGUAAAAAAAAAAAGUAUAAAAUCCCCCCAACCCAUUUUUUCAC
rnacentral:lncRNA from 1 species